CGUAGCGACGGGGAUUUUUAAAACGGUGACACGCGGAGGGGAGGAUAACAGAUAUCUCUGAGGAUAACCUUAGACAUAGGAUAACGAACGCAGUCGGUCUCGCUGGCGGGAUAUUCAAAAGGCGGAAGAAAAAAAAGGCGGAAGAAUUGUUCGACACGACGCUCGUCCCUUCAAAGAUGGUGUUUAUUUACCACUUUUUGUGAAGCUGUGACAAAUGACGAAACGAAUAGGGUAGUAUCCCACACCAUCAUCAUCUUCAUCUUCUGCAUCCUUAAAAUUCAGCCAGAAGCAACACAUUAAAAAUGGGACCAAAGUUGAGGCCCACAAGUAAUGGCCCAAUGGACAGAUUUGUCAAGAAAAGGACAUCUAACCAGAAUGAGGAAAGCUGUCAGCCUCCUAAUUUACAACCUGCUGCAAAGCCCUGUGAUAAACUGGCGACCCCUGCAGGGAGUACCUCACCUCUCACCCAAAGUCCGCAGGCAUCGGCUCCAGUCCCUCGUGAGCCACUGGAUAAACAGGUAUAGCUAACGGACCCUCAUGAAAAAACACUGCUGAAUCACUACUCAUCAC